rnacentral:rRNA from 1 species
ACAAGUGCGAGCGAGUCUAGGACUUCGAGAGAGUGCAUCCCAACACUGUAACUGAGAAACGGACCAGACUCUACGGAAGCAGCAGUAAGAUAUGUUCAUGGCGAGGCUUGAAAAGCCAUGGCGCGUGCAGAUGACUGCCCUAUGGGUGUAAACUGCUUUUGUCAGGAAUAAACCUUUCUACGUGUAGGAAGCUGAAUGUACUGGAAGAAUAAGGAUCGGCUAACUCCGUGCCAGCAGCCGCGGUAAUACGGAGGAUCCCGAGCGUUAUCCGGAUUUAUUGGGUUUAAAGGGUGCGUAGGCGGCCUAUUAAGUCAGGGGUGAAAUACGGUGGCUCAACCAUCGCAGUGCCUUUGAUACUGAUGGGCUUGAAUCCAUUUGAAGUGGGCGGAAUAAGACAAGUAGCGGUGAAAUGCAUAGAUAUGUCUUAGAACUCCGAUUGCGAAGGCAGCUCACUAAGCUGGUAUUGACGCUGAUGCACGAAAGCGUGGGGAUCGAACAGGAUUAGAUACCCUGGUAGUCCACGCCCUAAACGAUGAUAACUCGAUGUUGGCGAUAGACAGCCAGCGUCCAAGCGAAAGCGUUAAGUUAUCCACCUGGGGAGUACGCCCGCAAGGGUGAAACUCAAAGGAAUUGACGGGGGCCCGCACAAGCGGAGGAGCAUGUGGUUUAAUUCGAUGAUACGCGAGGAACCUUACCCGGGCUUGAAAGUUAGUGAAGAGUGCAGAGACGCACUCGUCCUUCGGGACACGAAACUAGGUGCUGCAUGGCUGUCGUCAGCUCGUGCCGUGAGGUGUUGGGUUAAGUCCCGCAACGAGCGCAACCCCUAUGUUUAGUUGCCAGCAUGUCAUGGUGGGGACUCUAAACAGACUGCCUGUGCAAACAGAGAGGAAGGUGGGGACGACGUCAAGUCAUCAUGGCCCUUACGUCCGGGGCUACACACGUGCUACAAUGGAUGGUACAGCGGGCAGCUACAUAGCAAUAUGAUGCUAAUCUCUAAAAGCCAUUCACAGUUCGGAUUGGGGUCUGCAACUCGACCCCAUGAAGUUGGAUUCGCUAGUAAUCGCGUAUCAGCAAUGACGCGGUGAAUACGUUCCCGGGCCUUGUACACACCGCCCGUCAAGCCAUGAAAGUUGGGGGUACGGAAGUGAGAUAAGGCGGUACG